UACAGAGGGUGCGAGCGUUAAUCGGAAUUACUGGGCGUAAAGCGCGCGUAGGCGGCUUUGCAAGUCGGGUGUGAAAUCCCCAGGCUUAACCUGGGAACUGCAUUCGAGACUGCAUUGCUAGAGUAUGGGAGAGGGAAGUGGAAUUUCCGGUGUAGCGGUGAAAUGCGUAGAUAUCGGAAGGAACAUCAGUGGCGAAAGCGACUUCCUGGACCAGUACCGACGUUCAGGCACGAAAGCGUGGGGAGCAAACAGG
rnacentral:rRNA from 1 species